UACGAAGGGUGCAAGCGUUACUCGGAAUUACUGGGCGUAAAGCGUGCGUAGGUGGUGAGUUAAGUCUGUCGUGAAAGCCCCGGGCUCAACCUGGGAAUGGCGAUGGAUACUGGCUCGCUAGAGUGCGGUAGAGGAGAGUGGAAUUCCCGGUGUAGCAGUGAAAUGCGUAGAGAUCGGGAGGAACAUCAGUGGCGAAGGCGGCUCUCUGGACCAGCACUGACACUGAGGCACGAAAGCGUGGGGAGCAAACAGG
rnacentral:rRNA from 1 species